rnacentral:rRNA from 1 species
AUACGGAGGAUGCGAGCGUUAUCCGGAUUUAUUGGGUUUAAAGGGUGCGUAGGCGGACGAUUAAGUCAGCUGUGAAAUGCCCGCGCUUAACGCGGGAAGUGCAGUUGAUACUGGUUGUCUGGAGUGCCGUUGCCGUGGGGGGAAUGUGUAGUGUAGCGGUGAAAUGCAUAGAUAUUACACAGAACGCCGAUUGUGAAGACACCUCACGAAGCGGUAACGGACGCUGAGGCACAAAAGCGGGGGGAUCGAACAGGAUUAGAUACCCUGGUAGCCCCCGCAGUAAACGUUGAUGACUAACCGUCGGCGAUGGCCCGCCGGUGGCCAAGCGAAAGCGAUAAGUCAUCCACCUGGGGAGUACGACCGCAAGGUUGAAACUCAAAUGAAUUGACGGGG